rnacentral:lncRNA from 1 species
CCGGCGAACCUUCGGCGAGCUUUUCCGGUCACGUUUCUCGUCUCCGGCGAAUUCCGCUUCCACCCCGAGGUUCAUCUCGCUGUUCUCUACACCGGCACGCUAUUGCUUUUACGAAUCUAUAUCUUGUUUAUCUGGGUCCCCAUCUCCUCUCUCUUCUCCGGCGACGAAACUCCAUUGCCGGCAACGCUAACUUCAAUUCUCUGCAGUCUUCGUAGCUUGGGGUCUCUUCUUCGGUUAUCCCGGUCUACUCCCGCUGCUGCCCUUGGAGCCAUCCCGCGCGGAUGUGGGCAGAUCCAUGGAGGCCCUGCCUCGCGUCCCUGUGCGAGCAGACCAGCCGCCGCCGCUCGGUGCCUCCUCGAGGCGAGCCAGUGGACCUCGUCAUGCGAGCCCCGCAGCUUGGAGCACCGCAUCGCCAUAAGCAGCAGCCGACCAAGCCCUGGCUGAGCCCCUGCUCUCCCUUCACGUGGGCAGCAGUAGACAACCUCCACGGCCAUGGUUGCUGUCCAGAUGAAGACCACGACCAAACCAAGGUAGAAGAUGCUCUUAAUUACGAUUUUGCCACUACGCGAAAAUAGUAAUAGUUUAACUCUUUUAGCUUUGUUUCGAGUUAUUCCAGUUGCGUUAGAUUCGUAUCGACAUGCUCUACAUAGUAGUCCUAGAGUUUAUCAUAGCACUUAAUUAUAAAUUUAUUAGUUUAAAUAUUAACUAGAUUAAUAUUUAUUUACUAGCUUUCCAAAUAAAGGCAAUAUAAGGUUAACUCAUUUUUUUUGGUUGCAUUAUGACUGUACCGACCGCAAGCUACAUGUUUGUAGGAGCGUUUAAUAUGUCUCACAUUAUCGAAUUUUAUAAUUAUUAAUUUAAUUUAUGCUUAUACAAUUAAGUCUCAAAUUAAAAGCAACACGGGUUUGUACUUCGGUCUUUUAGAAAUUAACAUUAAUCUAAUUAAUGUCAACCUUAAUGCCUUUUAAAUUAUAUUAUGCUUAGUUCAACCUUGAAACAUAAGUACUUUAAAUUAGUUAUCACAUGUUUUUCUACAUAUAGAUAAUUAUUGAAUUAAUUAAUAUACUUGCAUUUAGUUUCAUGAUUAAAAAUCAAUAUAGACUUUAUGCUUAUAUAUUUUUUAUGUAUACAUGUUAACAUGAUUAAAUGCUAUACAUAAUCAUGUUUUUAAAUUAUAAUUUAUUUAGUCCAAACAUGUAUGUUAAAUUCGAUUAUAUUUUACAUGCUCUUAUAUAUUAGUUUGUAUUUACAUAUAAGUGUUGAAUUGGCAUAAAUGGUAUCUAAAUAUUUAUAAAUAAAAUAUGAUUAGUUUUAACUCAACUUUUGAAAAUAAAUAUGUUAACCUUAAUUUUAAUUAAUAAAUUUUAUAUUAUUUUGCUUACUUAAAUAAAUCAAAUAUAUAGGCUUCUCUUUUAUAAUAUAAAACUAUUGUUAAUUAUUUAAUUUAACGAUAGGUUCCGUUACAGUGCUUCUUGCGAUCUCGUAGCAUUGAUUCUCUUUUAGUACGCUCUUUUCUCUUGUGUGGUGUAUUGUCUUAGUUGCUUCUACUUGUUGCUUGUAUGUUUGCCUAUGUGUGGUGCUUGCUACGAGUAGACAAGAACUGCUUGUGAGCGCUGAAGAUAAGAAGGUGAUGACCAAAAGUUGAUUGUGUAAGGAUUGAGCAGUUGGAUCAAGGCAAGUAUAACGUGGGAUCAUCCUUGUUACCUAUUCACUUAUAAAUACACAUAUAUAUCAUAUGCAUGCUUU